GAUGUUUAUCCAAACCACUGGCCAACUCCAAAAAUCAACCACUGAUGAUUCAAAAUUCAAACUUCAAAACCUCUGACGAUUCAAUAUUAUGGCUCCAAAUUCAAAAUUCAAAAUUAUGGCUCCAGAUAUAUAACCUAUCUCUUCUUCAAUCAAUUACCCUCUCUAAUCAAUUUAUCUCUCAACUCUCUCUCUCUAAAAUUCAAUUUCACUCUCUCAAAUCCAGAUCACACCAUAAAAAGUAAAUCCGCCAUUGAUAUAUGCACUUUGAGCUCAACUACUCAUAUGCAGGUUUCGAUCACUAUCCAGGUAAGUUCUUCCUCAUGUGUCUCUUCUUCUGUAUUUAACUUUUUUGCUCUCUUUAAUCAAGCCUAUAAGGUGUUUGAUGAAAUGCUUCACUGGGUUAUCUUGAUAAUUUCUGUGAUUUGUUUAAUGGGUCUGCUUGAUUUGUCUAAUAGAUGUGCUAAUGGAUAGCAAACCACAACCAAACAAUCAUAUGCACAAAACAGAGAAUUACGAGUACAGUAUAGAGAUUAGUUUUUAUAAAGACUAAUUUUAAGGUCAAUUGUUGGAGUAUUGAGAUAAAUAGAAGAGUGCUAAUUUUGUUUUUUUUUUUUAAAUCGAUUCCUUCCUAAUCAUAUGUAAACAGCGCCAGUGAGUAUUCCAUUGUCGUUGUUCAAGCGAAUUCAACGCUCGAAGAUCAAGCUCAAGUGCUGACGUCACCUUCUGCGACUUACGUUGGUGUUUACGACUUAUCUCAAGCACCGAUUGAUUAACAAAGAAGAGGCCGGUUCUCAGAUCCGGUUGCAGAAAGAGAAUUAAUCGUUUGUGGAGCGUUUGGUAGGGUUUAUACGGGGAUGAAUCUGGAUUCGGUGGAGUUACAUGUUGUUAAACUGGUUUAAGGCUUAAUUUGAUGUCAAUUAUAUGAUUAUUUGUGAUUUAUGAUAAAUGUUAUUUGUGGCGUUAUUAUUUAAUUUUGUUGGUUUGAUGUUGACUUGUGAUUUGGAUUAUUGAUAUGCAGGUUUCGGUUGUGGUGAAUACGGCUUCGAAAGACAAAACACAGAUAAAUAAGAAAUCAGAGAUAAUACACUUUCGGAUCUCACUCCUUUGUUGAGAAGCCUAUGAUGAAGAAGACCCGAAUGGAAAUAUCACAAUCAAGUGGGACAUUAUUAGUUGGACUCCAGAUGGCUAUGUUAUGAUUCUAAAUUCAAUUUCUCAUGCUUGGUUCUAAGACCUAGACGAUGAUUGGUCGACCUAUAUUGCCUGAGGCUGCUGUUCAUGCAGUUGUAGAAGAACAUGUAAGAAUAAUUGGAACAUACACUUUCAUCGCUUAUACUAAUUAUAUAAAGCCGAAGCUUUAUAAUAAUAAAAUCACUUCAUAUUUGUAUGAGUAUAUAAGCAAUAAGAAUCAUAUUAUGGGACAUGCACAACUUUUACUUAUUUCCAAGGUAAGAAGUUGGAGCUGACGACUCGUCCUAUGAGUUCAUGUGCCAGACUCCCUCAAUUGAUUUCUUGGCGAAGUACCAGUUUGAUUUCAAUAUGUGUGUGAAAGAAGCUCAUGGAUGCUAUGAUUCAGAGAUCAAAGGUAAUCAAAUUUGAGACGCCAUGCUGAUGAAUGUUUUCCACCAUUGGACAUGUCAAGGCAGCCUCCAACACAGGAGGAGCUGGAAGCCAAGGAUUUGCAUGGAAAAGAAUGGCGUUUCAGGCACAUAUUUCGAGUUAAUUGGCAGCUUCUUGUAGAGUUUGAUUUCGUAUAAUUUGAUUUAUAUUUAGCAUGUAUAAUUAAGGUUGAAUCAACUAACUAUUGAACUUUGGAGCUAUUUUUUUG